AGAGUUUGAUCAUGGCUCAGAGCGAACGCUGGCGGCAGGCCUAACACAUGCAAGUCGAGCGGGCACCUUCGGGUGUCAGCGGCAGACGGGUGAGUAACACGUGGGAACGUGCCCUUUGGUUCGGAACAACUCCGGGAAACUGGAGCUAAUACCGGAUAAGCCCUUCGGGGGAAAGAUUUAUCGCCAAAGGAUCGGCCCGCGUCUGAUUAGCUAGUUGGUAGGGUAACGGCCUACCAAGGCGACGAUCAGUAGCUGGUCUGAGAGGAUGAUCAGCCACACUGGGACUGAGACACGGCCCAGACUCCUACGGGAGGCAGCAGUGGGGAAUAUUGGACAAUGGGCGAAAGCCUGAUCCAGCCAUGCCGCGUGAGUGAUGAAGGCCCUAGGGUUGUAAAGCUCUUUUAGCGGGGAAGAUAAUGACGGUACCCGCAGAAUAAGCCCCGGCUAACUUCGUGCCAGCAGCCGCGGUAAUAC
rnacentral:rRNA from 1 species